CGAGCUUGCAGUCGGAUCGACUGCUUGUGGCCAGCGUGAAGGUUGCGGCGGUGGCGUUUGUGGCGGCGGCGCGGACGUCGGAACGGAGGCCACACCAGAGCAGCGGGAAGCUUUCUUGGCCGCAAGAAGAAAGAACACCGGCCUUUCGAGGUUGGGACCUGUUGC
rnacentral:SRP_RNA from 1 species